AGUGAACGCUGGCGGUAGGCCUAACACAUGCAAGUCGAACGGCAGCACAGUAAGAGCUUGCUCUUACGGGUGGCGAGUGGCGGACGGGUGAGGAAUACAUCGGAAUCUACUUUUUCGUGGGGGAUAACGUAGGGAAACUUACGCUAAUACCGCAUACGACCUACGGGUGAAAGCAGGGGAUCUUCGGACCUUGCGCGAUUGAAUGAGCCGAUGUCGGAUUAGCUAGUUGGCGGGGUAAAGGCCCACCAAGGCGACGAUCCGUAGCUGGUCUGAGAGGAUGAUCAGCCACACUGGAACUGAGACACGGUCCAGACUCCUACGGGAGGCAGCAGUGGGGAAUAUUGGACAAUGGGCGCAAGCCCGAUCCAGCCAUACCGCGUGGGUGAAGAAGGCCUUCGGGUUGUAAAGCCCUUUUGUUGGGAAAGAAAAGCAGCAGGUUAAUACCCCGCUGUUCUGACGGUACCCAAAGAAUAAGCACCGGCUAACUUCG
rnacentral:rRNA from 1 species